CUUAUGUGGUUGUCUCACCACCCCGUCGUCAUUUCAUGGUUGUUAUUCGUGGUCUUCUUCAUGCUGCCUCACGUCAUCACCCUCUCUCCUUCACUUGAAGGUGAAGUGUGGCAGGGCACAGGUCUUGGAGGUGUCACAUUGUCACCCUAGAAUCGCCAGCACCUGUCCUCGGGGACAGCCCUGUAAUGUCCGGCCUCAUUGGAUCAGCAGCAGGCACGGCCUGUGGGCGCCCUCUCUCAGGAAUUAUUCCUUCUGAAUACCAUGGAGGACAAACAGAACUGUGAUCCCUCAUCUACCUUAUGAUGAAAUAAAGGAGGGUGGAAGAAGAACAAAGCACAUUCAGCACUCCCUCCUCUCUUUCCGUUUCUUCUUCUUUGUCUCCAUCUUUCUCUGCCACCUCCUCUCCAUUUCAACCUCUCCCAGCGACGGCGUACUCCCCCAGCCCAUCCCAUAACCCCGCGCUCCUUCUUAGAGCUGCAAGGCACAGGGCUGUGCUUUAUUUCUUUGCUCAUUUUUCUCGGAGAUUGGUACCUUCACACGCAGAUCCAUACCGUGCUCCUGUGCAGUUCAGGCGGCGGUGAAGAAAGAGGGUUAUAUUUUCCCCUUGAGUUAGGACACCUCAUGACAAAUGAUAAUGGAUAAUCAAUAAAGCGGGAAAUAUGAGGCAGCAAACUUUAUGAAGCCAGGAGACAUAUUACUCCCCAACAACACUGGUUUCCCUUAACAAAGUCACUACUCGACUGUGCCUAAUAAUCUGAAGGAAAAUCAAAGGACCUGCAACCACAUCAGCAAUAUUGGCAACUUAUUCCACUUUAAUGGCAUUUUGAUUGAUUUUUUCCCUCUUCCUAAUGGUCGCUUUAUAGAUUUGACGCUGCUUCUGCAAAACUGUGGUGUGUAAUAAACCUCCCUGAAGGCAAACGGCAGCCAUUAAAGCUCUUGUCUUACUAGUGCUCAUAAUUGAAGGUUGACCACCAACACAUUUUGGUCUCACGCAGAAAAAAACACACACAAACACACACUAGACUUCUCUCUCUCUUUCUUUCUCCCUCUCUCCCUCUCUCUCCAACCCCUUGUUUUUUUUGGUGGGCGGCCAUAACAAGUGACAGGAUCCCUUUCUCCUGCUCUUUCUGUGCGAUGGGGUUAAAAAUAGCCAUAAAAAGGUGACCUUGGCGCUGACAUUGUAGAAUUUCAGCCAAGCAUUGACCUGAUGAAAAUGGAAGGCCAGGCCGCUAAUAAAUCAGGAUGCUUUUAAAAUGAGUUUACCCUAAUGCUCAUUCAUCACAGGCCGUAAUGCCAUUUGCAGGCCCAGGAUUCGCUGCUGUGCACAAACACAGCAGUAAAUAACAACAGGGUCCUAGCAUCCCUCGCAUCGUUGCAGCCUCCAACAUCAGCAUACAUUUAUUAAAGACAUCCCCGCCUUGCAAGGCAAGACUCCUCUAUGACACCCUGAGCUCCUCUCUGCCACACACACAUACAGCAGGCUCUUUAAAUACACACUCAAAAGGGACACGCAGACACGCACACAUAAAACACGUGCAGAAAAAUAAAAAAGCAUAAUCUGAAGAACAGCAGACACGGAGAACAAAGCCCUGCAGCACGACUUUGCACCUUGUAAACAUUCGCAAAAUUUACUGUAAUUGUCCCAUGUUGGUAUAAAUCCUGACUAAGGUACCGUAUCAGAUCGUCAACAUCUGAAAAGAAAAGAGAAAAAAACAAACCGAGAAGAGGAGAAUAAUAGAUGUGUAACGCUACGCCUCCAUUGGGAUUUGCUAAAGAAAACAACCAGUGUAAACAAAUCACGAGCUUGUUUUCAUAUGCAAUUCCAAAACAAGAUAAACUAUAUAAAGCAAGGUAACAGCAACAUAACCUUGGCUUGAUUUCUCAUUGCUCAUACUUCAUCAUUUGUAACUACUCUUCCUCUCUCCACUAGGGUGAAAAAGUCAUUAUCUCAAACACAAAAAAAUGUCGAGAAACCUCAUUAGAUAGCAACAUUUGUUGAGGGAGGGCCGUAAUAAACAGUAACGGAUGACGAUAGUUAUUGCCCCUGACACUGAUGAGCUCCUCUGCAAGUUUGUUUAUUAAUUAAAAAACCCACUUUUUUUUCUACGGGUGGGGUGGUGCUUACCCAUUUCCUCUCUAUGCCCCCCUUCCACCCACACUCCCUAUGCACAAGCCAUUGAGCUGUGGAGGGGCACUCGUUCAUCAAACUUCAUGGAGCAAGGGAGAGACAGGUCCUGAUAAUGUGCGCCGCUAAAGCUGAUUUUCCAUGAUGAAUCUCGGAGCAUAUAAAUUGGCUAAUAUCUGAAAACAUUUACAGAUACUAGAGGAAUUGACUACUUGUGGGACAUGAUGGAUGAGGCUCUCCGACGCUGGCCGACAGCUCUGCAAAUCUCUGCGGCUGCCUAAAGCCCUCAUUUGAUUUUCCAAUUUACUCC